AUUGAACGCUGGCGGAAUGCUUUACACAUGCAAGUCGAACGGCAGCACGGGGCAACCUGGUGGCGAGUGGCGAACGGGUGAGUAAUACAUCGGAACGUGCCCAAUCGUGGGGGAUAACGUAGCGAAGUUACGCUAAUACCGCAUACGAUCUACGGAUGAAAGCGGGGGAUCGCAAGACCUCGCGCGAAUGGAGCGGCCGAUGUCAGAUUAGGUAGUUGGUGGGGUAAAGGCUCACCAAGCCAACGAUCUGUAGCUGGUCUGAGAGGACGACCAGCCACACUGGAACUGAGACACGGUCCAGACUCCUACGGGAGGCAGCAGUGGGGAAUUUUGGACAAUGGGCGCAAGCCUGAUCCAGCCAUUCCGCGUGCAGGAUG
rnacentral:rRNA from 1 species